UACGUAGGUGGCAAGCGUUACUCGGAAUCACUAGGCGUAAAGCGCACGUAGGCGGAUUGCUAAGUCAGGGGUGAAAUCCUGGAGCUCAACUCCAGAACUGCCUUUGAUACUGGCGACCUUGAGUCCGGGAGAGGUGAGUGGAACUGCGAGUGUAGAGGUGAAAUUCGUAGAUAUUCGCAAGAACACCAGUGGCGAAGGCGGCUCACUGGCCCGGUACUGACGCUGAGGUGCGAAAGCGUGGGGAGCAACAGG
rnacentral:rRNA from 1 species